CUGCCCCGCCCCCACCGCACCCCGCUCGCGGGGCAGAGCGGGACGGCGCGGGCGCGCGGCCGACCGUUGGUGUGGGGGGGAGGGAGAGGGUCGCCCCAGCCCGCCGCCCWCGGGCGCCUCGCCGCCGUCCCCUCGCCUCGCCCCCAGUUCUGCCGGCAGCCCCUCCUGUUUCCCUGCCCCUCCCGGGAAGCCCCGGGAGCCCCGUCGUUUGCCCCUGCGGUGGCGGUGGCGGGGGGAAGCCCGGGGCGUCCAGCCUCGCUGGGGCUCAGCUGCGCCGGCCCUAGAAGGCGUAACGCAUUCUGGUUCUGGCCGCUUUGGGCCGAGGCGGCUUGCUCAGGGAGGAGAGGCCCUGCUUGCCCCAUGCACCCGGCGAGAGGGCAGCCACCUGCCGCCCUGGGGACCGGGAGCAGUGGCCCAGGAGGUUGUGGAAGUGUCUUCUAAACCAUUACAGUUGCAGACAAGAGGAGUUCAUUUCAAAUUGAUGAUUGUACUGUUCUCAUGAGAGUGGAAAAUUACAGCCAUGGAACAGCAUCCUGUCAGGUUCCUGUCUUCCCUCCUAUCCUGCAAAAUUCAGAAUUUCUUGGUUUGAAGAAAUGGAAACAACCUUUUCUAUUUUUCCUAUUUUCAAAAUAAAUGUUCCACAGCUGUAGGUGAAGGACA
rnacentral:lncRNA from 1 species